rnacentral:tRNA from 1 species
GGUGGUGGAAAUGGUUAACAUGUUGGGUUGCUAACCAAAAGGUUGGUGGUUCAAGCCCACUUC